CACAACUGCAGACCUCAAUCUACAAUACUCAUGACAGGUGAGCUCACCGCAAUAGCAACAGGAGGUGGCUACAAGAUUAUUCCAGUAGCACAGUGUGCACAGUGUGCUGACUUUAUGCAGGGGAAAAGGGUGAAGUGAAGAUGAGAGUGGCCUUCUUGCUUCUGAUGUUUUCUGACAUGACAAGGUACAGUAUUUUGAGAUAGUGUGCCCUGAAUCA